rnacentral:lncRNA from 1 species
CUUGCACUAAGGCUUCCUGAGUCCAAGGCUGGCCCUCUACCCACAACUGCCGGCUGUAAAAUUCUGGAUUCUAGUCCUUCAGUUUUAGCACUGUGCGAAGGUCUUCAACUGGCUCCCUUGCUGAUGGAUACCAGGGAAUCUAGGAAAGUCUUCUGUACCAGAACCCAAAAGGGAUCAUGGCCAAACUCAACCACCCAACUCUGACAUCUAUGGUUGCUGUUCUAAUAUGGAUCCAUGCUUCAGUACUUACAAGAAUCCAUGACUUCAUUGAUGUGGGACCUUUCUCUCCUCUGAGGGAGAGUAGAGCCCUGCCAUGCCUUAGUAGGCAGUCAUCAGGAGCUGCUGUAGCCAGAAAACCAUCAUCACCUGGUAGGCAGCCUUCUGCUGAUGGGCCUCUCUGAACUAAUCUUGGCCGGUCCUUGGAUGACAGACACUAGGCCAAUACUUGAAGCCUAUCCAGCCCUGGGUAGGACCUGCCAGGGCUUGAAUUCUAUGGACAUAACCUACCCAGAAUAGCCUCUGUUCCAUAGUGAGGAAUAAGAGGAGGACUUUGGUGGAGGACAACAUGAUUAUAACAAUCUGAUUUUUUAAAUCAACAAUUAAACUGCUAAUGAACCAUUA